AACGAACGCUGGCGGCAGGCCUAACACAUGCAAGUCGAACGCUCGUAGCAAUACGAGAGUGGCAGACGGGUGAGUAACACGUGGGAACCUUCCCUAUGGUUCGGAAUAGCUCAGGGAAACUUGGGGUAAUACCGGAUAAGCCCUUCGGGGGAAAGGAUUUAUCGCCAUUGGAUGGGCCCGCGUCGGAUUAGCUAGUUGGUGAGGUAACGGCUCACCAAGGCAACGAUCCGUAGCUGGUCGNGAGAGGAUGAUCAGCCACACUGGGACUGAGACACGGCCCAGACUCCUACGGGAGGCAGCAGUGGGGAAUAUUGGACAAUGGGCGCAAGCCUGAUCCAGCCAUGCCGCGUGAGUGACGAA
rnacentral:rRNA from 1 species